GACGAACGCUGGCGGCGUGCUUAACACAUGCAAGUCGAACGAUGAAGCUUAGCUUGCUAGGUGGAUUAGUGGCGAACGGGUGAGUAACACGUAGGUAAUCUGCCCUGCACUUUGGGAUAAGCCUGGGAAACUGGGUCUAAUACCGAAUAGGACACACUAUCUUUACGGUGGGGUGUGGAAAGCUUUUGCGGUGUGGGAUGAGCCUGCGGCCUAUCAGCUUGUUGGUGGGGUAAUGGCCUACCAAGGCGUCGACGGGUAGCCGGCCUGAGAGGGUGUACGGCCACAUUGGGACUGAGACACGGCCCAGACUCCUACGGGAGGCAGCAGUGGGGAAUAUUGCACAAUGGGCGAAAGCCUGAUGCAGCGACGCCGCGUGGGGGAUGAAGGCCUUCGGGUUGUAAACUCCUUUCGCUAGGGACGAAGAGUUACAUUGACGGUACCUGGAGAAGAAGCACCGGCUAACUACGUGCUAGCCGCCGCCGUAACAC
rnacentral:rRNA from 1 species